AGAAUCAACGCUGGCGGCGUGCCUAACACAUGCAAGUCGAACGAGAAAGGGACUUCGGUCCUGAGUAUAGUGGCGCACGGGUGAGUAACACGUGAAUAAUCUACCUCCGAGUGGGGAAUAACCUGGAGAAAUCUAGGCUAAUACCGCAUAACACUUACGAGUCAAAGCAGCAAUGCGCUUGGAGAGGAGUUCGCGGCAGAUUAGUUAGUUGGCGGGGUAAUGGCCCACCAAGACGAUGAUCUGUAUCCGGCCUGAGAGGGCGCACGGACACACUGGAACUGAAACACGGUCCAGACUCCUACGGGAGGCAGCAGUGGGGAAUUUUUGCGCAAUGGGGGAAACCCUGACGCAGCAACGCCGCGUGGAGGAUGAAGUAUCUUGGUACGUAAACUCCUUUCGAUGGGGAAGAUAAUGACGGUACCCAUAGAAGAAGCCCCGGCUAACUUCGCGCCAGCAGCCGC
rnacentral:rRNA from 1 species